rnacentral:lncRNA from 1 species
CGCGGAUAAAGCAGGGUGAAGCCAGGGAGCUGCUGAGUUCCAGUCCCUGAAUAGAAACGGUGGGGGCGCAGUUUGAGCCGCCCUGUGUACUUCGUAGAUAAACCUAAUCAGUCGGGCGCUGGAGGUGCGCCCUUUUUAUCUCGAGGGGUCUACCUGGAUCUCAACUAAAUCUUGUCUAACCAGUAUAGUAGAGUGAGGUCGAACUCGUUCUGGAAUACCUGACCGCCCCUGGGUUUGCGUGUCCGAGCAGGGGCUUUUGGUCUGCGGACCACACUGGAAUGAGCAUGUAGCAGGGUGAUAAACCCAGGCAAAGAAUUCGGACCACUAAGAUGACCGGGCUCUCUACCCUUUAGAUUCUACUCUUUUCUGAGGGUAGAGGAGAGGGACAGUUGAAGCUUCUUGAAAACCCUCGUCUAGAGAAUUUGAAACUGUUAACUUCUUAAAUUGUAGUACUUUAUGUAGAUUUUCCUCCCCAGAGUAGUAUCUCAUGUAAGAGAGGGUGCUAAUAAGGCAAGACAGGUACUGUGUCUAUG